rnacentral:lncRNA from 1 species
CGAGGAAUCCAAGGAUCCCAAAACGGGUCCAUGUCAAACAAUUGCUGUAGUGGGUUAGAGCUAGGAAGCGAAGCCCCCGGAAUCUAAAGAGUAAUCUAGAAUGGAUACCAUUCCUGUCAUCAAAAGCUCAUCAGUAGCAACAUACUAAAUGGAUUAUUUGUUAUGUUAAAUUAUUCAUUUUUGUUAAAUUGAAAUAUAAUGGUCAUUGGAUUUAGAGAAAAUGUCAAAACCAGUAAUUUUUAAAAUAAAUUAUGUUUUAAA